GACGAACGCUGGCGGCGUGCUUAACACAUGCAAGUCGAACGGAAAGGCCCUGCUUUUGUGGGGUGCUCGAGUGGCGAACGGGUGAGUAACACGUGAGUAACCUGCCCUUGACUUUGGGAUAACUUCAGGAAACUGGGGCUAAUACCGGAUAGGAGCUCCUGCUGCAUGGUGGGGGUUGGAAAGUUUCGGCGGUUGGGGAUGGGCUCGCGGCUUAUCAGCUUGUUGGUGGGGUAGUGGCUUACCAAGGCUUUGACGGGUAGCCGGCCUGAGAGGGUGACCGGGGCGGGGGCGGGUGGGGAUCGGGCCACGGGCGGGAGGGAGGGAGGGGGGGGGAAGAUGGGGCGGGGGGCGGAAGGCUGGGGCAGCGACGGCGCGUGGGGGAGGGCGGCGUUGUGUUUGUCAGCGUGUUGCGCUUGUGAAGAGGGGUGAGGGCCGGAGGGGGAGAAAGGAGCACCGGCUAACGGCGUGCCAGAGGCCGCGGGAACACUCGGAAUAGCUAACGGCUGUCC
rnacentral:rRNA from 1 species